rnacentral:rRNA from 1 species
GACGAACGCUGGCGGCGUGCUUAACACAUGCAAGUCGAGCGGAAAGGCCACUUCGGUGGUACUCGAGCGGCGAACGGGUGAGUAACACGUGAGUAAUCUGCCCCUGGCUUUGGGAUAGCCACCGGAAACGGUGAUUAAUACCGGAUACGACCACUUCUCGCAUGGGAUGGUGGUGGAAAGUUUUUUCGGCCAGGGAUGUGCUCGCGGCCUAUCAGCUUGAUGGUGAGGUAAUGGCUCACCAUGGCUUCGACGGGUAGCCGGCCUGAGAGGGUGACCGGUGACGCUGGGACCGAGAACCUGCCCAGACUCCUAGGGGAGGCAGAAGGGGGGAAUAUUGGACAGUGGGCGGAAGCCUGAUCCAGCAACGCCGCGUGAGGGAUGACGGCCUUCGGGUUGUAAACCUCUUUCAGCAGGGACGAAGCGCAAGUGACGGUACCUGCAGAAGAAGCACCGGCCAACUACGUGCCAGCAGCCGCCGUAA